rnacentral:lncRNA from 14 species
GAAGGAGAAUGGAAAUUUAAUGGAGAAGUGAAUCCUGCCCCCAGUUAUCAGAGCUUUGUUUGAGACAGUCCUGAACUGAAAUAAUGGAAUCCGGAUUCCUUGAUAUACAAAAAGAUUUAGGUGUGUAUGAACCUGAGUACUGAGGUAUAGGGAGCUACCUUCAAUUUCAAUUGAGGAAAGAAAUUUGGACAUUCUUGACAGGAGCCACAGGAGCUGAAAUCAGAAGAGAAUCUCACCAGAGAUUAGUACCCGUAUCUCAACAGUGGCUGAGAGAAUUCUGAUUAUGACCUAGGCUGAUUUAUGCUUCUGAACACACCUGGCUAGCCUCAACCGUGAAUUCUGUGUCUACAGAGAGGUGGCAUAAUGGGAGUGUAAGAGGACAUCUCAGUUUUAAAUAAAGACCCUUUCCAUAUAAAUUCAGACACACUCCUGCUGCUGCAGAAGGACAUUAAUAUGGAAGUCAGACAAACACGCAUGGAUUUAUGAAACUGCAUUUGAUAUCCAACCAAGGCAAGGAGCCCUGCUGAAUUCAGGAAGAAGUCCUGGAGAGGUGCUGCCUCCUUCCAAGAUGUCGGGGUGAA